rnacentral:misc_RNA from 1 species
GAUGAAGAACGUAGCGAAAUGCGAUAAGUAAUGUGAAUUGCAGAAUUCAGUGAAUCAUCGAAUCUUUGAACGCACAUUGCGCCCGCCAGUAUUCUGGCGGGCAUGCCUGUUCGAGCGUCAUUUCAACCAUCAAGCCCCCGGGCUUGUGUUGGGGACCUGCGGCUGCCGCAGGCCCUGAAAACCAGUGGCGGGCUCGCUAGUCACUCCGAGCGUAGUAGUUACAUCUCGCUCAGGGCGUGCUGCGGGUUCCGGCCGUUAAAAGCCUUUUACCCCAAGGUUGACCUCGGAUCAGGUAGGAAGACCCGCUGAACUUAAGCAUAUCAAUAGCGAGGA